GUGGGGAAUAUUGGACAAUGGGGGGAACCCUGAUCCAGCCAUGCCGCGUGUGUGAAGAAGGCCUUUUGGUUGUAAAGCACUUUAAGCGAGGAGGAGGCUUACCUAGUUAAUACCUGGGAUAAGUGGACGUUACUCGCAGAAUAAGCACCGGCUAACUCUGUGCCAGCAGCCGCGGUAAUACAGAGGGUGCGAGCGUUAAUCGGAUUUACUGGGCGUAAAGCGUGCGUAGGCGGCUUUUUAAGUCGGAUGUGAAAUCCCCGAGCUUAACUUGGGAAUUGCAUUCGAUACUGGGAAGCUAGAGUAUGGGAGAGGAUGGUAGAAUUCCAGGUGUAGCGGUGAAAUGCGUAGAGAUCUGGAGGAAUACCGAUGGCGAAGGCAGCCAUCUGGCCUAAUACUGACGCUGAGGUACGAAAGCAUGGGGAGCAAACAGGAUUAGAUACCCGUGUAGUCC
rnacentral:rRNA from 1 species